AAGCUCGUAGUUGAAUUUCGGGAUUAGUACGUCGGUCGUGCCUUAGGUACAUACUGGUGUUACUGGUUCCUACCUUCUGACGAACCAUCAUGUCAUUAAUUUGGUGUGGUGGGGAAUCAGGACUGUUACUUUGAAAAAAUUAGAGUGUUUAAAGCAGGCUCGCGCUUGAAUACAUUAGCAUGGAAUAAUGAAAUAGGACGUUGAUCCUAUUUUGUUGGUUUCUAGGAUUGACGUAAUGAUUAAUAGGGAUAGUUGGG
rnacentral:rRNA from 1 species